UCGGGGCCCAGGGCCGGUGUGUUUGUUGCCUUAGGAACACACGCGUCCUUGGAUCCUGACU
ensembl:miRNA